UUCAGAAGUCUUCAGAAGUCUUAUUGAGCCAAGGAACGGAGAUCAACUUAUCAGUAAGUCCAUGGCAUUUUUUUUUUCUUUGUUUAUUUUCCCUAGUCUUUGCUUUUACUUUCUUUUUUGGAUUGUAGAUUCAAUUAGAGGGAGGAGUUUAUCUAAGAAGUUAUAGUUUUGGUAUUGCAUACGUUGAGUGGGUUAUAGGAGUUGAUUUGAUCCUUCCCAUACCCUACCG
rnacentral:lncRNA from 1 species